rnacentral:rRNA from 1 species
GUGGGGAAUCUUCCACAAUGGACGAAAGUCUGAUGGAGCAACGCCGCGUGAGUGAAGAAGGGUUUCGGCUCGUAAAGCUCUGUUGUCGGGGACGAAUGUGCAGUAUUUGAAUAAAGUACUGCAAUGACGGUACCUGACGAGGAAGCCACGGCUAACUACGUGCCAGCAGCCGCGGUAAUACGUAGGUGGCAAGCGUUGUCCGGAAUUAUUGGGCGUAAAGGGAGCGCAGGCGGGAAGGUAAGUCGGUCUUAAAAGUGCGGGGCUCAACCCCGUGAUGGGAUCGAAACUAUCUUUCUUGAGUGCAGGAGAGGAAAGUGGAAUUCCUAGUGUAGCGGUGAAAUGCGUAGAUAUUAGGAGGAACACCAGUGGCGAAAGCGGCUUUCUGGACGACAACUGACGCUGAGGCGCGAAAGCCAGGGGAGCAAACGGGAUUAGAUACCCGUGUAGUCC